AGAGUUUGAUCCUGGCUCAGAUUGAACGCUGGCGGCAUGCCUUACACAUGCAAGUCGAACGGUAACGCGGGGGCAACCCUGGCGACGAGUGGCGAACGGGUGAGUAAUACAUCGGAACAUAUCCAGUAGCGGGGGAUAACCUAUCGAAAGAUGGACUAAUACCGCAUACGAUCUACGGAUGAAAGCAGGGGACCGCAAGGCCUUGCACUAUUGGAGUGGCCGAUGUCGGAUUAGCUAGUUGGUGGGGUAAAAGCUUACCAAGGCGACGAUCCGUAGCUGGUCUGAGAGGACGAUCAGCCACACUGGAACUGAGACACGGUCCAGACUCCUACGGGAGGCAGCAGUGGGGAAUUUUGGACAAUGGGCGCAAGCCUGAUCCAGCCAUGCCGCGUGAGUGAAGAAGGCCUUCGGGUUGUAAAGCUCUUUCGGUGAAGACGAAACGUUUCAUGCUAAUAACGUGAACUAAUGACGGUACUCACAGAAGAAGCACCGGCUAACUACGUGCCAGCAGCCGCGGUAAUACGUAGGGUGCAGGCGUUAAUCGGAAUUACUGGGCGUAAAGCGUGCGCAGGCGGUUUGCUAAGACAGGUGUGAAAUCCCCGGGCUUAACCUGGGAAUUGCGCUUGUAACUGGCAAGCUAGAGUGUGGCAGAGGGGGGUGGAAUUCCACGUGUAGCAGUGAAAUGCGUAGAUAUGUGGAGGAACACCGAUGGCGAAGGCAGCCCCCUGGGUUAACACUGACGCUCAUGCACGAAAGCGUGGGGAGCAAACAGGAUUAGAUACCCUGGUAGUCCACGCCCUAAACUAUGUCAACUAGUUGUCGGGGAAGAAAUUCCUUGGUAACGAAGCUAACGCGUGAAGUUGACCGCCUGGGGAGUACGGCCGCAAGGUUAAAACUCAAAGGAAUUGACGGGGACCCGCACAAGCGGUGGAUUAUGAGGAUUAAUUCGAUGCAACGCGAAAAACCUUACCUACCCUUGACAUGCUAGGAAGCCCGCAGAGAUGUGGGUGUGCCCGAAAGGGAACCUAGACACAGGUGCUGCAUGGCUGUCGUCAGCUCGUGUCGUGAGAUGUUGGGUUAAUCCCGCAACGAGCGCAACCCUUGCCAUUAGUUGCUACAUUCAGUUGGGCACUCUAAUGGGACCGCCGGUGACAAACCGGAGGAAGGUGGGGAUGACGUCAAGUCCUCAUGGCCCUUAUGGGUAGGGCUUCACACGUAAUACAAUGGUCGGUACAGAGGGCUGCCAACCCGCAAGGGGGAGCUAAUCCCAGAAAGCCGAUCGUAGUCCGGAUUGUAGUCUGCAACUCGACUGCAUGAAGCCGGAAUCGCUAGUAAUCGCGGAUCAGCAUGUCGCGGUGAAUACGUUCCCGGGUCUUGUACACACCGCCCGUCACACCAUGGGAGUGGGUUCCACCAGAAGUAGUUAGCCUAACCGCAAGGAGGGCGAUUACCACGGUGAGAUUCAUGACUGGGGUGAAGUCGUAACAAGGUA
rnacentral:rRNA from 1 species